rnacentral:rRNA from 1 species
ACUCCUACGGGAGGCAGCAGUGGGGAAUCUUGGACAAUGGGGGCGAACCCUGAUCCAGCCAUGCCGCGUGAGUGAUGAAGGCCUUAGGGUCGUAAAGCUCUUUCGCCUGUGAUGAUAAUGACAGUAGCAGGUAAAGAAACCCCGGCUAACUCCGUGCCAGCAGCCGCGGUAAUACGGAGGGGUUAGCGUUGUUCGGAAUUACUGGGCGUAAAGCGCGCGUAGGCGGAUUAGUCAGUUAGAGGUGAAAUCCCAGGGCUCAACCCUGGAACUGCCUUUAAUACUGCUAGUCUUGAGUUCGAGAGAGGUGAGUGGAAUUCCGAGUGUAGAGGUGAAAUUCGUAGAUAUUCGGAGGAACACCAGUGGCGAAGGCGGCUCACUGGCUCGAUACUGACGCUGAGGUGCGAAAGUGUGGGGAGCAAACAGGAUUAGAUACCCUGGUAGGAUAGCG